CCGGACUGCAUCGUCGGCGGCGGCGGCGACCAGCGCAGCCCCCGUGGAGCGUAUAGGAGGGCGAGGAGGUGAGCACCAGCGCAGAUUCGUCGGAAGGGAGAUGAAGAGGGGUGAAGAGAUGUGAGGGAGGAGAUCUGUGGUGCUGCUGUGCAUCUGUGAGAACCAUAUCCGCAAGCUCCUCCUAGAUUGCAGCUACUACCACUCCAAGAACUCCAACCUAGACGGAGGAAGGAACAUCAUGGAGGCCGCUUGCCGCAUAAGAGGCUGGAGCGGCAAGUUUGGUGUGGCUGCUCCUCCAUGCAAAGGCUGAGAUCCAACACUGACCGUAGGCAAGCCCCAUGGAAUUCACCGCUUCUCUACGUGUUGCUGGAGGAUGGCUCACAGCAUGCGAAGCAUUUAGCUUAGGAAUUCAGGUUUGCUUAAAGGCGGCUCCCCACAUAAUGUCGACUUUGGCCUGCAGUCGAGAGAUGCACAGUGCAAAUUUUUAUUUGUUUUGCAGGUUCAUCCAUAAGGUUCAUGGAUAGCAUCUGAUGGAUAUUCUCAUAUUUCUAUAAAUGGAUAUCAUCGAUCCCAUCCAUAAGGCUUACUGGUUUCGGUUCAGAUAGAAGGGCAAUGAAGGUUGUUUUUUCUGGAGAAUUGAGUUAGGAUAUUCUGCACACGUACUAUCGAGUUCCGACCAAGGGUUGUAUUUUCUACUGGGGAUGAGUUGGUUCGGCCAGCCACUCCAAACUCUAAAUCAUGGUCAGGUGAUUGACGAGGUCACCAAGCCAAGAAGAGGCGCUGCGAUUCGCUACAGGAGGGCACGGUGGGGUAAGCUUUGGCGCUGCGGCCAUGGUGGCUGCAGUGGUCAAUGCCAAGGCGUCUCACCACAUCCUUGCACUAUGGUCAGAGGAAGAAGAUAAAGAAUGAUCUCGUGCGCCAUCGAGGAAGCUUGCUGGGCCUGAUGCGUCUCUGCCUUUCAGAAGUGGCCACCGUCAUCGACCCUCCUCUAACGCAUGGGUGCCCUCCUCGAAUAAUGCGGGAGGGCGGCCGGAGAGUGCAAGCGGAGGUGGGAGGCACUCGUGUUGUAGUAAGAGGUGGGUGCAGCGCUGGGAUGUACGCACUGCGGCAUCAACGGAGCACCACUCUGCAAGUGUUCUGUAGCUGCUAGCAUGCGAUGUCCGUCAUUCUACCUCUGUUUCAGGUGAGAU